GAAGUUGAGAGACCAUCUUUCUGUUCUAGGGAGCCAUAGAGGUACAGUAACAUAGUGGUUAGCACAAUCACUUUACAGCACCAGCAAUCCCUGAUCAAGUUUCAAUUUCAGCCACUGUCUGUAAGGUAUUUGUACAUUCUCCCUGUGACCAUGUGAGUUUCCUCUGGGGGCUCUGGUUUUCUUACACAUUCCAAAAAGCAUACAGUUAGGGCUAGUGAGUUUUGGACAUGCUAUUUUAGUGCAUGAUGCAUGGCGACAUUUGCAAGACAUUUCCUUGGACCAUUUCAGUUGCUGACACAAAGAAAUGGAUUUCACUGAUGUUUUGUUAUAUAUAUGACAAGUAAAGAUCUUUUCAAUAGUUUUGUAACAGUGGUGUAGAAAUUGUCCUUGAGCCUGGUGGUAUGUGUUUUCAAGCCUUUGUAUUUCCUGAUUGAUGGGAGAAGGAGACUAGAGAAUGUCUGAAGUGGGUGGGAUCUUUGAUUAAGCUUUCUGCAUUUCUAAGGCUGCAAGAAGUAUAGACAGAAUCAAUAGUGGGGAGAAUGGUUUCUGUGACGUGCUAAGCUGUGUACACAACUCUCUGCAAUGUCUUGUGGUCUCAGGCAGAGCGGUUGCCAUGCCAAGCUGUGAUGGUGCAUUGAUACACAAUGGUAAGUCAACAUCCUGAUCAGGACCGAGAGGAAACAGAAAUGAUUGCAGGUAUAUAGCAGUGUUAGGAGGGGUGGUGGGAUAGAGGCUGGUAUGUGAUAAGUGAGAUCAGAUGGGGGGGGAAGUGAUAGACAGGUGAAAUCUGGUUGGAGGGCGUGAGAAGGGAUGGUAAAGAUGAACAGUGGGAGAAGAAAGCUGGGUUGACAAAUGCUUGACAAGUGAAGUCUCUGUGCAUGCAAAGUUUUAGCAUCGACUAGUAGUAUCACCAUAGUGACAGCAUGGUCAGUAAUUUCUAUUAGUCAAAGAGUAUUAUAGCAUUGAAACUGGCCCUUCAACCCGCCUAGUCUGUACUGGCCCUUCAACCCAUCUAGUCAGUGCUGAACUGUUAUUCCUCUUAGUCCUUUCGACCUGCACCUGAACCAUAUCCCUCCAUACCCCUCCCAUCCAGAUACGUGCAAUCAACAAUAGUGUGGUAAGAGAGGCCCUUCUGAAGUUAAGAGUACAUGGCUCAGUCCUACAUUAAGGAGAGUUAGUCUGCAUCAAAUCAAAUUGUAAAUCUUCAGUUUUUACCAAUAUGAUCUAAAUCUCAUUUCUCAUUGAUUCAGAGUUUCAACACAAAUUUGGCAAAUGCUUUCCACCGACUGAUGCUGCUGAUCUACUGAGUUCCUCCAGCUGAUUGAUUGUUGCUCCAGAUUCCAGUGUCUGCAGUCUACUGUCUCCAUCAUCUACUGCUCACCCCAUCAGGGUCAGAAAGCUUUGGAUGGACCAGGGAUGUACAAGAUGCUGCCUGACCUGUUGAGUAUUUCAGGAGCUUGAGAAGAUUUGAUAUGGCAGCAAAGAUUCUCGUAAAUUUCUACAGAUGUUUGGUGGAGAAAAUGCUGACUGAUUGCACCACCACCUGGUAUGGAGGUUCCAAUUCACAGGACUGAAAGAGGCUACAGAGGGUCGUGACUCAGUCAGCUCCAUCACGUGUACAAGCCUACCCACCACCAAGGACAUCUUCAACAGGCAGUGCCUUAAGAAGGCAGAAUCCCUUAUUAAGGACCCUCGCCUAGGACAUACCCACUUCUCAUUACUACCAUCAGGGAGGUACAAAAGUCUGAAGAAUCACACUCAACGUUUUAGGAACAACUUCUUCUCCUCUCCCAUCAGAUUUCUGAAUGGUGCAUAAACCCAUGAAUAGCACCUCGCUAUUCCUCUUUUGCUCUAUCCAAUUCCUCAUUGCAACUUAGGGUAGCUUUUAUAUUUUGUACUGUACUGCUGACACAAAAUAACAAAUCUCAUGACAUAUGUUAGUGAUAAUAAACCUGAUUCUGAGAAUUACUGUUUGGUGAAAUAAUUAUAAGGUUAAUGUUAAUAGAUUUGACAUAGAGCAAUACAAUACAAAAACAGGCCCUCCAGCCCAUCUAGUUCUUGCUGAACUGUUAUUCUGUCUAGUCCCAUUGACCCACACCUGGACCACAGACCUCCAUACUCCUCCCAUCCAUGUACCUAAUUGUGUUGAAUAAAUACCGCUAGGUUACAAUGAGACAUUGGGAUUAGGAGCAGCGGGCAGUUAAAGAGAAUAUGGAAGAGAGUCAGUUUUAAAUGGAGGUGCCAGACUCUAUAAAGUGAGGAGGUGAUGAAUCCACACACAAUGUUAGUUUGGAAAUGGUAGAAACUUGAGAUGAGACAUGGGAAUCUGAACGAGUGAACUUAAAGACAGUGGAAGAAGUGACUUAUCUUCGCAAAGCUGGAGGACAAGCGUGAAACUGAGAAGCAGUUCAAAGGCUACUGGAACAAAUUCAUAAGCUGUGGUGAGUAACUUAUAGAGCAGGUGAUGAGCUGCAGAAAUUAGGUGACAGUUGUUUGUAGUAAUGGGUCGUCUUGAGAUGGGUAUUCAGAACAGGUGAGGUUGAAGGUGAGUAGUUCUCGUCACCUGGUAUUCUUGAGGUACUACUGUUGCACAUGACAAAGUUCAAAGUAAAUUUAUUAUCAAAAUACAUACAUGUCACCAACAUACA